GUGCUCACCUCAGCAGCACAUAUACUAAAAGUGGAACGACACUGAGAUUAGCCUGGCCCCUGUGCAUAAUUACACGCAAAUUCGUGAAGCAUUCCAUAUUUUU